rnacentral:rRNA from 1 species
CGUUUAGGGGUAAACUAAGAACCCGAAGGUCGAAGGAAGAAAUUCAUUCGUGUUUCGUCAUUUGACAUGUAUGUUUAUAAUUGGCAAUGUUUGAUAUGGGUUGUGAUUUAUUUUACAACACCAGAUUUGAAUAUUGCAUAUAUCGUAUGUGUAUCAUUUGAUGAACGCGUGCAUUUUUCUUCUGGUAGGACGUUGCGAUCCGUUAGUAUAUCGAUCUAUGUUUUACGGUAUAGUUCAUUGGUGCAUAUGUAAUAUAUAUUAUAUAUGAUAAUAUUGAUGAUGCCGUAAAUACUGAUCGAUUUGAUUGACGGUAUAAAAUAUGGUUAAGAGUCGCUUAAUUUUUUUAGCGUUAGAGGCUAAACAAGUGUAAAAAUUUGUGAAAAUUACUUUAUUAUUAUUUUUCGAAAUGAUGAUAGAGUAUAUUCGGUAAUCGAUAUUUAUAUCAAUUCCGAGCCGUUUUUACACUAUUAGUUUGGCAUUAUUAUCUCUGACUGACUUAAUUAUUAUUUAAUAAAACCAAUCUGCAACGCUAUAGCUUUGGGUACUUUUAGGACCCGUCUUGAAACACGGACCAAGGAGUCUAGCAUGUACGCAAGCCAUUGGGAUUAUAAAAACCUAUAGGCAUAAUGAAAGUAAAAAUAUUAUAUUUUUUUUAUAUAAUAAAGGAAGAUGACUAAUAAUUUUGUAUUUAACAAAUUAUUAUUUCGCAUUCCUGGGGCGUUUAAAUUUUAUUUUUUUGUUUACAAUUAAAUGAGAUUAUGCGCACCAAGAGUGUACACGCUGGGACCCGAAAGAUGGUGAACUAUGCCUGGUCAGGACGAAGUCAGGGGAAACCCUGAUGGAGGUCCGUAGCGAUUCUGACGUGCAAAUCGAUCGUCGGAACUGGGUAUAGGGGCGAAAGACUAAUCGAACCAUC